CAGUCGCCGCGGGAAUACGGAGGGUGCAAGCGUUAAUCGGAAUUACUGGGCGUAAAGCGCACGCAGGCGGUCUGACAAGUCAGAUGUGAAAUCCCCGGGCUUAACCUGGGAACUGCAUUUGAAACUGUCAGGCUGGAGUCUUGUAGAGGGGGGUGGAAUUCUAGGUGUAGCGGUGAAAUGCGUAGAGAUCUGGAGGAAUACCGGUGGCGAAGGCGGCCCCCUGGACAAAGACUGACGCUCAGGUGCGAAAGCGUGGGGAGCAAACAGGAUUAGAUACCCGUGUAGUCCCUGUCUCUUAUAC
rnacentral:rRNA from 1 species